rnacentral:lncRNA from 1 species
GGCGAGAUGGUGGGAGAGUUCUGAAUUAAGUGACGUGGAGAAACUCUGGGCUCUUACCUUGAGAGCUUUUUGCCCAGCCCUGCAGUCUGAUCAGGAAGAAUGUAUUCCACAGCUCCCCCACCCUCAUCCACGAAAACUCCUGUACAAAAAGUAAGUGAUUGGAGGGGGUGCAGUGCAGAUGAAGAUGUUAAUCUCCCUCCAGAUUUGCCUGCUCCGUCUUUCCUCAACAACCCACAACCAGUGAAUGAGGUCAAGAACCCCUCACAACCUCCAGCAGCAGAGAACAUGGGAGAAUGUAGUCCACCAACCAUCGCUGAUCAAGAGAAUCAUGCAUAUUUACCUGAUCAGGAGAGUGUGUCAGUAUGUGACGUACAAACUGCUCAGCAGCGCCACCUAGAAGACAAAGUCAGUUGCGUUGAGGGUCAUGUUUUGUCAGACGAACAGAGUGACAAAUUUGACCAAGUGGGGAAAGUCUCAGAAAGGCAAGAAGUCACAAGAGGAUCUGAAGCAGGGAAGGGGGUAAAAACAGGUGCAGGAGGAUCUGGAUCAUGGCUAAGAACAAUAUCUGAAGCAGUUUCAAGCAUGGGAACAAAACACGGAGCAAGUGGAUCUGGAUCAGGGCAGAGAGCAAAAUCAUGGCUAGGAGGAUUUGAGUCAGGGCUGAGAACAAAUUCAAGAGAAAGUGGAUCUGGAUUGGGGCAGGGAACAAAAUCUGAAUUAAAUUUGGGGAAAAAAUCAGGAACAGAAGAAUCUGGAGCGGCAUCUGGAUCAGGACUUGGAAAAAAAUUAAUAGCAGAAGGAUCCGGAACAGCAACUGGAACAGGACUGGGAACAAAAUCAGGAGCAGAAGGAUCUAGAGCAGCAUCUGGAUCAGAACUGGGAACAACAUCAGGAACAGUAGGAUCUGGAGCAGCAUCUGGAUCAGGACUGGGAACAACAUCAGGAACAAAAGGAUCUGGAGCAGCAUCUGGAUCAGGACUGGAGUGCUGCCCAAUGUGUCUGAUGCCAUUUCCUGCAGGGUUCACCCAAAUGCAAUGUGAUGGUCAUCUUGCACAAUGUCUAUCAGAGAUCAAUGAAGAUAUUAUUUGGUGA